rnacentral:rRNA from 1 species
CCCUUAGAUGUUCUGGGCCGCACGCGCGCUACACUGAUGCAUUCAACGAGCCUAUCCUUGACCGACAGGUCCGGGUACUCUUUGAAUCUGCAUCGUGACGGGGAUAGAUUAUUGCAAUUAUUAAUCUUCAACGAGGAAUGCCUAGUAGGCGCAAGUCAUCAGCCUGCGUCGAUUACGUCCCUGCCCUUUGUACACACCGCCCGUCGCUCCUACCGAUUGGGUGUGCUGGUGAAAUGUUCGGAUCGGCCGUUUGUCGCGGUUUCCGCGUCAUGUGGCUGAGAAGUUCAUUAAACCCUCCCACCUAGAGGAGGGAGAAGUCGUAACA